GUUCAGUGUCUGAAGGCAGCAGAGACGCUGGUGGUCGUCUCCUCUCUUAUUGGACUGUUCUCCAUUAUUCUGAUCAUUUGUAGGCGGUCUUUGGGUGAUUUCUGCACAGAGGACAUCAGAGUGAAGGUGGCAGAGCUACGAUGAUUCCUGGAAUGGAUUUUGGUUUUCUUCUGCCUUCGGGAUUAUUGUUCAUUUGAAAAAAAAUAUUUUUGUUUUGAGAGAAUGGAGGGAAAUGUGACGCCUUUGCCUCAAAUGUGCAGUGACUGUGGGGUGGGUCAGUGGAACAGAUGGAGACAGACACAGGAUUACAACAGAAGUUCUUCAGAGGCAUCUGGCCCUGUGUCAUCAUGCUACACUAAACAGGACGAGCAUAGGCUGAGUUCUGCUCCACAAAGUGUUUGUUUCAGCGGAGCCGGACCUUCACAGUAAUGGACUGUCCAGCCUCUGAACCAACAUCCUCUUCUA
rnacentral:lncRNA from 1 species